AGAAGAAUGACUCCAACGUUCUAUUAAGCUGCCUUGAUAUCAGUAGGAUCUCUUAAUUUCUACAAUCCAUAGACAAGAUGUUUGCCCCCACCGAUCCAUGGAGAUCUAGACUAGAAGGAAGACAGAAAUUAGUUGGAUCUUCCCUUCAUGAGUUUCAAUCCAUUGCUUCUUGUCCUGAUUUCGGGUUCUUUGGACAAUAGGUUGACCCCUUCUUCUUUGGAUUGUGAGAUCAUCUGGGAAGGUAUACCAAUUACCGACUGUUACCUGGGCAUUUCCACUCUCCAUCAAUUAAAUAAGGAUGAUGAAGAUACUUUUUUCCAAUCUUGCUUGUUAAUCUAAAAAAAAUUGUAAAGAAACCAACUGUGCCUUUUGUCUCAGCUGGUGUAGCUGAGAUAAAUGAAGAUAAAUCGGCUUAGAUAAUGAAGUUAUCAAAACAAGAACAUCUUCUCUGCUCUUA